GAAUGACUCCUGGGUUCAAAUGUAUUUGUAUAUCGAGUCAUACUCAUGCACAUCUGAAUAAAUCAUCCAUUGACUGCUCAACUGAUAUGAAUUUACAAUAUACCAUGUGAAUAUAUUUCAUGCUUUGCACCCAUUCCCCAUGAAUUCAUCUACAUUUCUAAAGGACGUCUUGGUUUAAGUAUGCACAUAUGUUUGAACCGUUAGUGCUGUGACCCAUGUUGAUACGAUGCUGUGUGUGUGAGGGGUACGCUUGAGGACACUGCGUACACUGCAUGUUCAUGAAUGCUUUUGUCUCUUUACUGAUGUAAACAGGGCCUUAUCUGCUGGUGAGAUCAUGCAUCGCUGCUUUAUCCUUCCAUGCAUCGAGCCCAACAUUAUCUGUCGCAUUGGACAUGCCACAGAAUCGCUCCAGUGCUGGAGAGUUCAGCGAAUCAUGCAAAAGCAGCGCACAGAAUCUGGGCGAGCGUGACUCACACAGCCCUGCUGGAGUGUCUGCUGUCAGCAGGUCUGUCUUAGUGGGUGACAGGAGAGAAAUAAUGACAGCCCUGCUCGUAACAUGACAACAGUUUGUGUCAUCGCUGGAAAUCCUGAGCAUGUGGGCAGAAUCUCUCAUCCAGGCAUGAGUUUUCAUCAUCGUGCAUGUUGUUCUUCAUUGUGUACAUAUUUUUGUGCGUUAAGGUCAGAUAUUGCAUCAUUCGGUUUUACAUAAAUUCUGGCCAAACAAAAACUGCCAACAAUGUGCCAGGAAGGGCAGAAGGACACAGAGGAGGACAAGUGAAAGAAAGGAAAGGCCACGUUUAAUGAUCCAGAAUCCAAUCUCAGCAACUAAAAUCUCACUCUAAUUAAAUAUUAUGUGAAAAAUGACUUAAAUGUUGGUCUGUUCUACCUACAAAGCUUCCGAAGUCUUGAAAUAUAGCAGCUAUGCCUGAAGGAGUCUUUUUGCUUUGCUUUUUAGUACUUUUAUUGUACUUUUUAGAGUUUGAGAGCUUCAGUCCACCUUUGUUGUAACAGCAUGGAAAAGAGCGAUCAGAAAUUGGCCCAAAUCGAAUACAAGUCCACAAACAUCCAAUCUCAUAUAGAUUUGAUCUGUGCCAGAUGUUUGUGAAAAAAAAUGUACACAGACCGCAGGAAGCCAACCUGAAAGUCCAGGACCUGCACUUUCAUCUCAGCAUCUGAAAGAGAGAGAGAGACGGGUCUGAAGGACAGGAGGACUGACAUUGGGUAUGUCUUGAAUCAUACAACCUUCAUGUGUUGACCGAAAAACAGUAUGCAGAGUGUAUUCACUGCAGAGGAUGCAGAUUUCCUGUAUGCAGGAAACACACAGGUGAUCUACAACAUUUGUCAAAUUGCGCAAUAUGCAAUGCGCUUGACUUGACCUUCCAUUUCCACUGAAAACUCUAGCGUUCAUUAGUGAUUUACUUAUCGUGUCUGUGCUACAGACAUGAAUGACUCAGAUCAUGUGGUUUGUUCAGAAGAGGUGUGCAUUACUCUUUUUAUAAUGAUUAGAUUUACGCUUUCCAUUUAAUGGACAAUAAAAUCAGCUAAAAAUCCAUCAGUCUAACAUUGAAUGAGGAACCUAAGCCAUAUAUACAUACUUGAGUCAAUGACCUACAGAGCCAGUAAACAACCACACAUCAUAGAAACAUGCUUAAAAAACACCAAGAACAUCCUAGUAAAUGCAUAGCAAUGUGCUAAAAACACCUAGAAUGUCCUAGCAACCUUAUAGCAACUUCCUGGCAACCACCAAUUGAACAUUGAGCUUUUCUGCAUUGGAAUGCACAACACACAUUUUCUUCAGUUGAUAGAAUAAAUGAAUGAAUGAAUAAAUAAAUAAUCUAGCUGUUUCAUUUAUCAUCUAUUCAUUUAUUUAUGUUCCACAUUUUUUUUUUACUUAUAUAUAUAUAUAUAUUUUUUUUUAAAUGUAUAAAGUUUUAUUAGUAGUAGUAGUAGUAGGAGGAGGAUUUAUUUUAUUUUAUUUUAUUUUAUUUUACUGAAGUGGUUUUUGCCACUUUUAUUCUCUUUUAUUUCCUUGGGUAUUGAAUAUUUGGAGGGUCAAAGGCUAUGAGAAAGGAAAAGUUUAAAGUCAUAUCAAGAGCCAUCCACAAAAAUCUAGUUUUAUAAAUAUAUUUAUUUUUACAUGUUUCACAUGCCAUUUUGAAUAUGUAUUGUGCCAUACAUAAAGAUAGGACUUUAGUGAUUCUGCAAAGCUGUGCUACUGUAUGAUUGCAUUACUAACCCUAAUCAUCAUAAUUUGCAAUACUUGGAUGGAACGGUUACAGAUAUGCAAUUUUAUAUGAGCUACUGUGAAGGCAGUUUAAUCAAAGACAUGCAGCAAUGAGAGAAUCAAGUUUAGUGUAGUUUGAUGUUCAUAUGCAUAUGCACUCUGUAAUGAGAACAGUUGUAAACAUGUGCAUGGU
rnacentral:lncRNA from 12 species